rnacentral:lncRNA from 12 species
GGCAACCUUAGCUGCAAUUUCAUAAGGAAUGGUGAUUAGGGAACAAUUAUUCCUAUUUUCUCAGAAGAUCUAAGGGGAAUCAAAUGAAAUUACCCAGCAAGAGUCUAAAAACAAACAGAAGGGAGCACAUUCCUCACCGGGAAGCCAGUCCCAGGAGUGCAUUGCCACAAGGUCGCUCCGAAUUUCCCAAGCGCUGCAGAGGUGUUUACUCAGCGCAACAGCGCACCGAGAUGGAGGAAGUUCAGUGGCCCUGGUGAUGGCUGCCCCCAAGGCAGCAGGGAGAUGUGGCACACACACCUCGCUCGCCAGCAGCCUGACCUUGCCCAAACAACCGCACGCUGCAGGAUCCUGUUUGGGACAGACUGAGCAAGAUGGGAGAGAUGUUUAGGCUAAGUCCUUGGUAUUUAGCCAUCGGAAUUUAACCCCUCUGGUUCUGAUUAUGGCUCUAGAAGUUCAGUUUCCAUCCCAGACCACCGGUUUUGGCCACUUAAGAGCAGUCGGUAUCACCUCUGACCCCCUGGCAAGCUUUAUUGCCGCGGCUCGCAAGGCAGCAGCCCCCCCCCCCCCCCCCCCCCCCCCCCCCC